UACGAAGGGGGCUAGCGUUGUUCGGAAUUACUGGGCGUAAAGCGUGCGCAGGCGGCUUCUCAAGUCAGGGGUGAAAGCCCAGAGCUCAACUCUGGAAUUGCCUUUGAGACUGAGUGGCUUGAGUACGAGAGAGGUGAGUGGAAUUCCCAGUGUAGAGGUGAAAUUCGUAGAUAUUGGGAAGAACACCGGUGGCGAAGGCGGGCUCACUGGCUCGUAACUGACGCUCAUGCACGACAGCGUGGGGAUCAAACAGG
rnacentral:rRNA from 1 species